GCCGAUGACAAAAUCACCUGGAAUCCGCCCAAUAUCAUCAGACAUCGGAAGCUAACCUGCAUUAAGCCUGGGUAGUGCUUGUAUGGGUGACCACCAUGCAUAAAACAGGUGUCGUAGGUU
rnacentral:rRNA from 1 species